AAAUUGAGAAGCAAGAUGGACAGAAAGGGAGCGAGGGGCGAUAUGAGAAAGAAUUUGGUGAAGCCAUUGCUAAUGAUGCAUGUGCGCCAAAUGUUUUUAAGGGAUACCAGACAAAAGGAAUUGAGGGGAUGGAGAUUUUGCUUUAUUCAUAUCAAGAGAUGCAAAGGAAAUUAGUUGUGCACAUAAUUAAGGAAAAGCAUCGAGCGAAGUGUAUAGAGCCUCUUCAAGGACUAGCAACAAAACUCAAGGACCUUAACAAUGAUUUCAACAUGAUUGUGGAAAAUGUUUUAGAUGGUUCUAAGUAGGACAUAAUGAAGUUUGUAGCUGGAAAAUCUUUAUCAUUUAACUUCUCUCGAGAUUUUCUCCUUAUUUGGAAACUUAAUGAUACCAGAAUCUUAAGCUAUUAACAGUACUAAUUUAUUAUUGUACUAUGUUUUUUUUGUUGGGAAUCUUUAA